CACAAGCGGUGGAGCAUGUGGUUUAAUUCGAAGCAACGCGAAGAACCUUACCAAAUCUUGACAUCCUUUGACAACUCUAGAGAUAGAGUCUUCCCCUUCGGGGGACAAAGUGACAGGUGGUGCAUGGUUGUCGUCAGCUCGUGUCGUGAGAUGUUGGGUUAAGUCCCGCAACGAGCGCAACCCUUAAGCUUAGUUGCCAGCAUUAAGUUGGGCACUCUAAGUUGACUGCCGGUGACAAACCGGAGGAAGGUGGGGAUGACGUCAAAUCAUCAUGCCCCUUAUGAUUUGGGCUACACACGUGCUACAAUGGACAAUACAAAGGGCAGCUAAACCGCGAGGUCAUGCAAAUCCCAUAAAGUUGUUCUCAGUUCGGAUUGUAGUCUGCAACUCGACUACAUGAAGCUGGAAUCGCUAGUAAUCGUAGAUCAGCAUGCUACGGUGAAUACGUUCCCGGGUCUUGUACACACCGCCCGUCACACCACGAGAGUCUGUAACACCCGAAGCCGGUGGAGUAACCAUUUAUGGAGCUAGCCGUCGAAGGUGGGACAAAUGAUUGGGGUGAAGUCGUA
rnacentral:rRNA from 1 species